CCCUUAGAUGUCCUGGGCCGCACGCGCGCUACACUGAGUGUCUGAGAUACGAGUCUGCCUGGUCCGGCAAGGUCUAGGUAAUCGCUAAAAGACACAUCAUGCUUGGGAUAGAUUAUUGCAAAUAUUAAUCUUGAACGAGGAAUACCUUGUAAGCGCGGGUCAUCAUCCCGCGCUGAAUACGUCCCUGCCCUUUGUACACACCGCCCGUCGCUCCUACCGAUUGAGUGGUCCGGUGAGGCUUUGGGAUCUGAGCGGAAAGAGCGUUUCGCUGUUUCUGCUCGGAAAACUCAGUCGAACCUUAUCAUUUAGAGGAAGGAGAAGUCGUAACA
rnacentral:rRNA from 1 species